CCCGCCUCGUCCCGCCUCCCGCGGAGACCGGGGUGGGAAGGCCGGGCGGGGCCUCCCUUGCACUGCCAGGUGAGGAAACUGAGCCUCAGAAAGGUGAAAGGAUUUGCCUAUGGCCGUGGAGCUGAGUGAGUUGGUGCCAGGCUGAUCCAAAGACAAGAACUGUGCUAACAAGCCUGAAACACGUCAUUCCUGCCCCCAAGCAACACUGAUGAACAGGGAGGGAGGACACACUUCACCGUCUGUAUUAGUCUCUGUAUGGCUGCUAUAACAGUACUGCAAGCUUGGUUGCUUAAAACCGUAGGAAUGGAUUCUCUUACAGCUCUGAAGGCCGGCAGUCCCAGACCAGGGUGUGUUGGCAUGCAGUUCCUCUGCAGGUCCUCAGGCAGAGUUCUUUUCUUGCCUCCUCCAGCUUCUGGCUGCUGUCAGCAUUCCUUUGCUUGCAGCUGCAUCACUCCAGUCUCUGCCUCUGUCUUCACAUCACCUUUCCCUCUGUUUCUCCUCUGUUCAUGUUGGAACUCCCCCUGGCUUUCUCUUAUGAUGAUACAUGUGAUUGCAUUUGGUCCACAUAGAUAAUCCAGGAAAAGUGCCUUCUUUCAAGAUCCUUAACUUAGUCACAUUUUUUGCUAUAUAAGGUAAUAUUCACAGGUUCCAGAAAUCAGAACAUGGACAUAUCUUUGGGGUUGCUAUAUAGCCCACCACUCUAUGUGAAAACCCUAAACUCAUAGAAUCAUCCAGUAUCUCUCAUUCAUUAUAUAGCCUAGUAGUUAGGAGCCAAAGCUCUGGAGUCUUACUCCUGGGCUCCCAUCCUAGCACUGUCAUUUUCUGUGGAAUGUUGGGCAAAUUCCUUAAUCUUUCAGUACCCCUGUUUUCUAGUCUGAAAAGUUGAGGACUGUCUCUCUCUUGUAGGGCUGUAAUAAAGAUUACACAAAAUACUCUGUAAAAACCUACAGCAUAGUGUCUGGCACAUAGUAAGCACUCAAUAAAUGUUAACGAUUAUUAGAGAUGGUGGUUUCAGGAUAUGUCCAUAAAUUCUUUAAUAUUCCUUUAAGAAGUGGGGCUUAAUUUUCCUCUUCUUGAGUAUCGACUGAACUUAGUGCCUCACUUCUAAUGAAAAGAAUAAAACAGAAGUGACCAUGUGUGACUUCAAAGACUAGAUACAGAAGGUGCUGCAGCUUGCUCCUUGCCCUCUCUCUGCUCACUCACUCAGGGGAAGCAGAUUUUAUGUCAUGAGGAUCAUGUGGCAAGGAAUAGCCAACAGGACAUGAAUUUGGAAGAGGAUCCUCCAGGUCCAGUCAAGCCUUCAGAUGACUGCAGCUAUGGCCCAUACCUUGGUUACAAUCUCACAAGAGACUCUGAGCCAGACCACCCAGCUGAACUGCUCUUAGAUCUCUGACCCACAGAGACUGCCAGAUAACAGAUGCUGUUUAAGCCACACAGCAGCAAAUAACUAAUAAAUUAGCUGUUAUUAUUAAUCUUUAGACAUUAAUUAUCCAUUGUAUACCAAGCAAGGGGGAUUACAGGGAUGGCAAAGUACCUGUUUGCAUGGAGCAUUCAGUCUGGUGGGUAUUAGAGGGGAAAGUGGAAUG